rnacentral:rRNA from 1 species
CACCAGCGCCACGAGUGGCAAUCGUAUAUUGGGCCUAAAGCGUCCGUAGUUGGUUUGGCAAAUCUUUCGUGAAAUUGGAGAGCUUAACUCUUCAGCGUGCGGGAGACACUACCUUACUUGGAACCGGGAGGAGUCAGAGGUAUUCUGGGGGGAGCGGUAAAAUGUGAUAAUCCCUGGAGGACCACCUGUGGCGAAGGCGUCUGACUAGAACGGAUUCGACAAUGAGGGACGAAGGCUAGGGGAGCAAACCGG